CCAACGUGGCUACUGUGCCACCUGGUGAAUGGCUCGGCUCGAGCGCCGACGACGGACGUGCCAAGCUGCGAAAAGCCUGAGGAAGCCGCACGGAGGCUAAGAACUCAGGAUCUCCGAAUGGGAAUCCCCCCGCAAUUGCCUCGCGCAAUGGGGAACGCCGAGAACUGAAACAUCUCAGUAUCGGCAGGAACAAAAAGCAAACGCGAUGUCGCUAGUAACGGCGAGUGAACACGACAAAGUCCAAACCGAAGCCCUCACGGGCAAUGUGGUGUACGGACUGACUCUCAUCGUCGAAACCGUCUCAUGAAGUCUCCUGGAACGGAGCGUGAAACAGGGUGAUAACCCCGUAAUGAGAUCAAGUACGACGUGCGUCAGCUCCCGAGUAGCAGGGGUCGGAAAUCCCUUGUGAAUGUCGCGGGCAUCGACCGCGAAGACUCAAUACGACUCGAGACCGAUAGCGAACAAGUAGUGUGAACGAACGCUGAAAAGCACCCCGAAAAGGGAGGUGCAAUAGGGCCUGAAAUCAGGUGGCGAUGGAGCGACAGGGCAUACAAGGCCCAGCAAAAAACGACCCAGGUGCAAGCCUGCAGUAGGAAUUGCUGGGAGCCGAUGUUCUGUCGUACGUUUUGAAAAACGAGCCAGGGAGUGUAUCUAAUUGGCGAGCCUAACCCGAGCAUCGGGGCAGGCAUAGGGAAACCAAUACGGCCGCAGCACUUUGUGUGAGGGCCACCGUCUUCAAGGGCGGGGAGUCAACUGGAUACGACCCGAAACCGGAUGAUCUACGCAUGAGCAAGGCGAAGCGUGGCGAAAGCCACGUGGAGGCCUGUUAGAGUUGGUGUCCUACAAUACCCUCUCGUGACUUAUGUGUAGGGGUGAAAGGCCCAUCGAAUCCGGCAACAGCUGGUUCCAACCGAAACAUGUCGAAGCAUGACCUUCACUAAGGUAGUUCGUGGGGUAGAGCGACCGAUUGGGAGAACCGUCUCCGAGAGGAGUCGGCCUCCCUGUCAAACUCCAAACCUACGGACGCCGUUGACGUGAGGAAUCCGGUGCGCGGGGUAAGCCUGUGUACCGUGAGGGAGACAACCCAGAGCUGGGUUAAGGUCCCAAAGUGCGAGCUAAGUGCGAUUGAAGGUGGUCGCAAGCCCUAAACAGCCGGGAGGUGAGCUUAGAAGCAGCUACCCUCUAAGAAAAGCGUAACAGCUUACCGGCCGAGGUUUGCGGCGCCGAAAAUGAUCGGGGCUCAAGCUCGCCACCGAGACCUAGCAGCACUCUUGAUCGAGUGAUCUAGUAGGUUGGCAUUCUGAAUGGGUGGAAGUGCGGGUGAGAACUCGUAUGGACCGUUCAGUAUCGAAAAUCCUGGCCAUAGUAGCAGCGUUAGUCGGGUUAGACCCCCGACGACCUAAUGAGUAAGGGUUCCUCAGCAAUGCUGAUCAGCUGAGGGUUAGCCGAUCCUAAGUCUCACCGUAAUUCGAAUGAGGCAAUAGGGAAACUGGUUAAUAUUCCAGUGCUAACACCAUUAAAAGUCGACGCCUCAGGAAACACUAAGCCGGGCCUUCGCCCGGUCGAAUCGUCCAACUCCGUGGAAGCCGUAAUGGCAGGAAGCGGAAGAAUGGCGAGAUAGCGAAAGUUAGUGGUACCCGGGGCCCGUGAAAAGACGAGCGUGUUAAUCGUACCGAGAUCCGACACAGGUACUCUGGCGGUGAAAGCCAAGGUCUGUCGGGAGCAACCGACGUUAGGGAAUUCGGCAAGUUAGUCCCGUAAGUUCGCGAUAAGGGAUGCCUGCUCUGCAUAAGAGCAGGCCGCAGUGACUCGGACGCUCCAACUGUCUAGUAACAACAUAGGUGACCGCAAAUCCGCAAGGACUCGUACGGUCACUGAAUCCUGCCCAGUGCGGGUAUCUGAACACCUAGUACAAUAGGACGAAGGACCCGUUAACGGCGGGGGUAACUAUGACCCUCUUAAGGUAGCGUAGUACCUUGCCGCUUCAGUAGCGGCUUGCAUGAAUGGAUCAAUGAGAGCGUCACUGUCCCAACGUUGGGCCCGGUGAACUGUACAUUCCAGUGCGGAGUCUGGAGACCCCCAAGGGGAAGCGAAGACCCUAUAGAGCUUUACUGCAGGCUGUCGCUGGGACGUGGUCGCUACUGUGCAGAAUAGGUAGGAGCCGUUACACAGGUAUCCGCGCUAGCGGAUCACCGAGGCAUCAUUGAAAUACUACCCGGUAGUGACUGCGACCCUCACUCCUGGCGGAGGACACCGGUAGCCAGGCAGUUUGACUGGGGCGGUACGCGCUCGAAAAGAUAUCGAGCGCGCCCCAAGAUUUCCUCACUCGGGUCGGAGACCCGAGGAAGAGCGCAAGAGCAAAAGGAAGUCUGACAGUGUCCUACACAACGAGGGACGCUGACGUGAAAACGUGGUCUAGCGAACCAAUGAGGCUGCUUGAUGCGGCCCAUUGAUGACAGAAAAGCUACCUUAGGGAUAACAGAGUCGUCACCGGCAAGAGCACAUAUCGACCCGGUGGCUUGCUACCUCGAUGUCGGUUCCCUCCAUCCUGCCCGUGCAGAAGCGGGCAAGGGUGAGGUUGUUCGCCUAUUAAAGGAGGUCGUGAGCUGGGUUUAGACCGUCGUGAGACAGGUCGGCUGCUAUCUAUUGGGGGUGUUACGGUAUCUGACGAGAACGUUCGUAUAGUACGAGAGGAACUACGAAUGGGUGCCACUGGUGUACCGGUCGUUCGAAAGAGCGCGUGCCGGGCAGCUACGCACCACGGGGUAAGAGCUGAACGCAUCUAAGCUCGAAACCCACUUGGAAAAGAGAUACCACCGAGAUCACUCGUAGAAGACGAGUUCGAUAGGCUCGGGAUGUACGCGCCGAGGCAACGAGGCGUUCAGUCCGCGAGUACUAACAGAUCGACGCCACACAAU
rfam:Haladaptatus sp. R4 NODE_22_length_4318_cov_56.1277_ID_1067, whole genome shotgun sequence.